rnacentral:lncRNA from 1 species
UUCCUUUGAAUGCGUCGAAUCUCGGUCUCGAAAGAAGCCUUCAUCUGAGUCUUCUCGAAGACAAGCUGAUCAACAAUCUUCUUCCAAGCAACGGGAGGCCGAGGCAUGCUAGAGGAAGAUGAGGCCUCCGACUCUCUCUGUCUCUUUGUCACUCGGUCUUCAAGUAGCUCAAUGAGUGCAUCUUUGUCCUUCGACUCCAACUGCAACUCCUUAUUCUUUUUGCUCAAAGCACGAAAAU